rnacentral:rRNA from 1 species
UACAGAGGGUGCGAGCGUUGUCCGGAAUCACUGGGCGUAAAGGGUGCGUAGGCGGCCUGACAAGUCUGAUGUGAAAUCCCUGGGCUCAACCCAGGGCCUGCAUCGGAAACUGUCGGGCUUGAGUAUGGGAGAGGUGAGUGGAAUUCCGGUGUAGCGGUGAAAUGCGUAGAUAUCGGAAGGAACGCCUGUGGCGAAAGCGGCUCAC